rnacentral:rRNA from 1 species
UACGUAGGGGGCGAGCGUUGUCCGGAUUUAUUGGGCGUAAAGAGCUCGUAGGCGGUUGGGUAAGUCGGGUGUGAAAACUCAGGGCUCAACUCUGAGACGCCACUCGAUACUGCCCUGACUCGAGUCCGGUAGGGGAGCGUGGAAUUCCCGGUGUAGCGGUGAAAUGCGCAGAUAUCAGGAGGAACACCAAUGGCGAAGGCAGCUCGCUGGAACGGUACUGACGCUGAGGCGCGAAAGCGUGGGGAGCAAACAGG